rnacentral:rRNA from 1 species
AACGAACGCUGGCGGCAGGCUUAACACAUGCUAGUCGAACGGAUCCUUCGGGAUUAGUGGCAGACGGGUGAGUAACGCGUGGGAACGUACCCUUUGCUACGGAAUAACUCAGGGAAACUUGAGCUAAUACCGUAUGUGCCCUACGGGGGAAAGAUUUAUCGGCACAGGAUCGGCCCGCGUUGGAUUAGCUAGUUGGUGGGGUAAUGGCCUACCAAGGCGACGAUCCAUAGCUGGUCUGAGAGGAUGAUCAGCCACACUGGGACUGAGACACGGCCCAGACUCCUACGGGAGGCAGCAGUGGGGAAUAUUGGACAAUGGGCGCAAGCCUGAUCCAGCCAUGCCGCGUGAGUGAUGAAGGUCUUAGGAUUGUAAAGCUCUUUCACCGGUGAAGAUAAUGACGGUAGCCGGAGAAGAAGCCCCGGCUAACUUCGUG